rnacentral:rRNA from 1 species
UACGUAGGGUGCGAGCGUUGUCCGGAAUUAUUGGGCGUAAAGAGCUCGUAGGCGGUCUGUCGCGUCGGGAGUGAAAACACCGGGCUUAACUCGGUGCUUGCUUUCGAUACGGGCAGACUAGAGGCAUGCAGGGGAGAACGGAAUUCCUGGUGUAGCGGUGAAAUGCGCAGAUAUCAGGAGGAACACCAGUGGCGAAGGCGGCCGACUGGCCGAGUGCUGACGCUGAGGCGCGACGGCGUGGGGAGCAAACCGG